CUCUUUGUCGCCAUCGGUGUCUGCAUAGUGGGAGUUGCGUCGCUCAUGAUAAAUGCUCGUGUGUGAAUGGUUGGUCUGGUAACAGAUGCCGACACCCUACAUGUAUCUUGCCAUGCAUGAAUGGGGGAUACUGCUCUGCUCCAUACACAUGCACUUGUUCUCCUGGGUGGACUGGUGAAAGAUGCCAAACACCAUUCUGCACAAAGAGCUGCCAGAAUGGUGGACAGUGUGUGUCUCCAGAACAAUGCAAAUGUCCCUAUGGAUAUUUUGGUGAAGAUUGUAGUGAAGAGAGAUCUUACUUUGGUCUCUAUUGGUAGAAACGAUACAUUUUGCGCUCUAUGGAUUUGACCCCGGACUUGUCAUGACCUGAUUUUUCUUUGUUUUACUUUCAAAUAUAAUCAACCUGCAUUGA